GGAUCCUUCCCUGGGAACUUCAAAGGGAGUAUGGCACCUUGCUUUUGGAUCCCGGCCUCCAGAACUAUCUCCGUGGUUUGCCGUUUCUUCCUGCUGCCAGGCCCCAUGGCACAGCUGACACUGUCUCAAAUUCCAGACCAGAAAAAGGACGCACUAUAUUGCAAUGAUUUUAUCAUGAACAAGACCUGUUUGGCUCCGAGAUGAGGAAAAAUACUUAAGCAUAAUAUUUGUGUAGUUCAAAUGCAAUGCUCCCUCUUUUCAUGUGUCACCAAGGCAAAUCUGGACUCUGAUUCAGUCCCACAGCCCACAGUACUCGGUCUGAACACAGGCAGCCUGAGUCACGUGGGUCCAGCACACAUGUGAGAGGCUUCUUACCCGCUGAGUAUUUUAAGCACCGACCGGCCUUGUGGGCGAAAGGCCAUGGGGCCAGGGCCCGGAACAACCCCUGUCAUCCCUUUCCCUCAGAAGUAUGAAAACAUCUUUUUCUAGAACAUUCUAUUUCAGUCCACCAUGGAGUCAUCUGUGGUCUCUGGAUGGCGCUUCCCUUGACUCCUCCUUCCUCUUAUCUUUGUGAUACAUUCUCGGCUUCCUGAUGGUCAGACUGAAAAAUCUGAAGUUUUCUUGUAGAAGAGCAAACAAUGCCAACUCAAAAGCCAUCCCAGGCAUAAUAAUUCAGCCCUUUAAAUGCCUACCAUGACCUGGUGUUAGGAGUCAAGCAGGGAAGAAGGCAGGACAAAUGAUUCUGGAAAGUUCUGCCUCCUCAGAAAGAAUGCCGGUUGGCAAAGUUACGGUGCAGAGGCUUCUAGCAAGUUUUGUACCCAUUUCAAAACUUCACAUUCCUUGGGCACCCACUGGCAUUUUUGAGGAACAUCAUGGCAAGGACAGUGGGUGAUCCAGGUGAAUGAUGUGUACCAGAUCAUUCUGAACACAUGGCAUUCGGCGUUUUGGAGUCUCUGGCCAGCCUUUGAAGAGAGGCUUUCAAUUGUGUCUGCCUCAGGCACCAAUCUUGGGUGCCACCACGUGCCACCAAGAAACCAACCAGGAAUAAGUCAUUUCAGGCAAAUACCUGGCCUUUGGGAGCCAUUAGACUGGUCUUCAGAGCUCUGUCCUGAACCCGGGAUUCUCCCUGGCCUGCCCUAUCCUUGGAUGUGCUGGUGGCUGGCAGCUUUGUACAAGGUACCCUGAGAAUUCACUCUCCUUUUGCCUCCUGCUCUUUCAUCCGUGGCCCCCUGAACAGUUACUAGUGACCUUGGACAUCAGUUUUCCCAGAUCCUUCCCUCUCUCCCCUCAAGCCUCCGCUGAGCCUUUCCUGGUACCCACUGGCUGAGACAUCCCAUUCUGUUUUUGCCCCUUCCCCAUGAUGGCCCAAAGGCUGCAUCCAGACGGAGUGGGCCAUUAAACUCACCUUAAAACCUGCUAGCAGGUUGUCAAGGGCUGCAGCUGGGAAGAAAACCACUCUGCUGAUUCUUAAUCCAGGGUCUCAUUUUCCUGCAUCUCUUAUUGGUUAGAAAAUAAUGAUACUCAGGCUGCCCUGGUGGCGCAGUGGCUGAGAGUCCGCCUGCCGAUGCAGGGGACGCGGGUUCGUGCCCCGGUCCGGGAAGAUCCCACAUGCCGCGG